GACCAGACUCCUACGGGAGGCAGCAGUGAGGAAUAUUGGUCAAUGGGCGAGAGCCUGAACCAGCCAAGUCGCGUGAGGGAAGACGGUCCUAUGGAUUGUAAACCUCUUUUGCCGGGGAGCAAAAAGCGGUACGUGUACCGCAUCGAGAGUGCCCGGAGAAAAAGCAUCGGCUAACUCCGUGCCAGCAGCCGCGGUAAUACGGAGGAUGCGAGCGUUAUCCGGAUUUAUUGGGUUUAAAGGGUGCGUAGGCGGGCUUUUAAGUCAGCGGUAAAAAUUCGGGGCUCAACCCCGUCCGGCCGUUGAAACUGGCAGACUUGAGUUGGCGAGAAGUACGCGGAAUGCGCGGUGUAGCGGUGAAAUGCAUAGAUAUCACGCAGAACUCCGAUUGUGAAGGCAGCAUACCGGCGCGCAACUGACGCUCAUGCACGAAAGCGUGGGUAUCGAACAGGAUUAGAUACCCGUGUAU
rnacentral:rRNA from 1 species